ACAUUGUGCUUGCACAGAUGACGACCGGCGCACGGGUGCGUAACGCGUAUAGAACCUACCUUUUACAGAGGAAUAGCCUUUAGAAAUGAAGAUUAAUGCCUCAUAGUAUUGUAGACUGGCAUCAGUUUAUAAUUAAAGAUUUAUCGGUAAAAGAUGGCUAUGCGUCCUAUUAGUUAGUUGGUAAGGUAACGGCUUACCAAGACAGCGAUAGGUAGGGGUCCUGAGAGGGAGAUCCCCCACACUGGUACUGAGACACGGACCAGACUCCUACGGGAGGCAGCAGUGAGGAAUAUUGGACAAUGGAGGAGACUCUGAUCCAGCCAUGCCGCGUGUAGGAAGAAUGCCCUAUGGGUUGUAAACUACUUUUAUACAGGAAGAAACACUGGUAUGUAUA
rnacentral:rRNA from 1 species